rnacentral:rRNA from 1 species
GAUGAACGCUAGCUACAGGCUUAACACAUGCAAGUCGAGGGGUAACGAGAGGAAAGCUUGCUUUCCUUGUCGACGACCGGCGCACGGGUGAGUAACGCGUAUCCAACCUGCCCCCAACUAGGGAAUAACCUUGCGAAAGUAAGACUAAUACCCUAUAAUUUCCUCAGAUGACAUCUGACGAGGAAUAAAGAUUUAUCGGUUGUGGAUGGGGAUGCGUCUGAUUAGCUUGUUGGCGGGGUAACGGCCCACCAAGGCAACGAUCAGUAGGGGUUCUGAGAGGAAGGUCCCCCACAUUGGAACUGGGACACGGUCCAAACUCCUACGGGAGGCAGCAGUGAGGAAUAUUGGUCAAUGGGCGGAAGCCUGAGCCAGCCAAGUAGCGUGCAGGAUGACGGCCCUAUGGGUUGUAAACUGCUUUUAUACAGGAAUAAAGUUAGCCACGUGUGGUUAUUUGUAGGUACUGUAUGAAUAAGGACCGGCUAAUUCCGUGCCAGCAGCCGCCGUAA